rnacentral:rRNA from 1 species
GACGAACGCUGGCGGCGUGCUUAACACAUGCAAGUCGAACGGAAAGGCCCUGCUUUUGUUGGGUGCUCGAGUGGCGAACGGGUGAGUAACACGUGGGUAACCUGCCCUUGACUUUGGGAUAACUUCAGGAAACUGGGGCUAAUACCGGAUAGGAGCUCCUGCUGCAUGGUGGGGGUUGGAAAGUUUCGGCGGUUGGGGAUGGACUCGCGGCUUAUCAGCUUGUUGGUGGGGUAGUGGCUUACCAAGGCUUUGACGGGUAGCCGGCCUGAGAGGGUGACCGGCCACAUUGGGACUGAGAUACGGCCCAGACUCCUACGGGAGGCAGCAGUGGGGAAUAUUGCACAAUGGGCGGAAGCCUGAUGCAGCAACGCCGCGUGCGGGAUGACGGCCUUCGGGUUGUAAACCGCUUUCGCCUGUGACGAAGCGUGAGUGACGGUAAUGGGUAAAGAAGCACCGGCUAACUACGUG